rnacentral:snoRNA from 1 species
AAUUACCAGUGCCUUAAGAGGCUAACACAGAAGUCUCCAUAAAACCCAGAGAAGAGAUUUUUAAAACUCCUCUCUGGAUCCUGUCUGGAGUCACAACU